rnacentral:rRNA from 1 species
AUUGAACGCUGGCGGCAGGCCUAACACAUGCAAGUCGAACGAGUGGCGGACGGGUGAGUAAUGUCUGGGAACCUGCCUGAUGGAGGGGGAUAACUACUGGAAACGGUAGCUAAUACCGCAUAUCAUCCGAUUUUCCCAGAUGGGAUUAGCUAGUAGGUGGGGUAACGGCGCACCAAGGCCACGAUCCCUAGCUGGUCUGAGAGGAUGACCAGCCACACUGGAACUGAGACACGGUCCAGACUCCUACGGGAGGCAGCAGUGGGGAAUAUUGCACAAUGGGCGCAAGCCUGAUGCAGCCAUGCCGCGUGUAUGAAGAAGGCCUUCGGGUUGUAAAGUACUUUCAGCGGGGAGGCGUUACCCGCAGAAGAAGCACCGGCUAACUCCGUGCCAGCAGCCGCGGUAAUUC